GGGUGUAGGAUUUUUUAAAAUAUAAGUCAGUUUUGGAAUUUUAAAAAUAAUAUGGGGUGUAGGGAGCAAUUGGGAAGGUGUAGGGAGUAACCCCCUUAGAACAAAGAGUGAGAAGUCCAAAACUUUGGGUCAUUGUUGAAAGCCCAAUCAUCAAAAUAAUUUGGGCGUUGCUCCCUCCACCUCCACCAAUGCUUCCUCCACCUCCCCAAAUUUUUCCAAAAUUUUUUUAAUUACAAAAUUACCCAUUUCUCACGUAGCCGCACCCCCACUUUCACUUUUUCUAUAUCCAUUUGUUCUCGCCCU
rnacentral:lncRNA from 1 species